rnacentral:tRNA from 1 species
GGGUCGCUAGCUCAGCUGGCAGAGCAACGGACUCUUAAUCCGAAGGUCCCCGGUUCGAAACCGGGGCGGCCCA